rnacentral:rRNA from 1 species
AUUGAACGCUGGCGGCAGGCCUAACACAUGCAAGUCGAACGCGUGGCGGACGGGUGAGUCAUGUCCGGGACACCGCCCGAUUGUGGGGGAUCACUACUGGACACGCUCGCUAAUACCGCACACCCUCGGAUGUGCCCAGAUGGGAUUAGCUUGUAGGUGGGGUAACGGCUCACCUAGGCGACGACCCCUAGCUGGUCUGAGAGGCUGACCAGCGACACUGGAACGGAGACACGGUCCAGACUCCUACGGGAGGCAGCAGUGGGGAAUAUUGCACAAUGGGCGCAAGCCUGAUGCAGCCAUGCCGCGUGUAUGAAGAAGGCCUUCGGGUUGGAAAGUACUUUCAGCGAGGAGGCGUUACUCGCAGAAGAAGCACCGGCUAACUCCGUGCCAGCAGCCGCGGUAAUAC